UACGUAGGGUUCAAGCGUUAUCCGGAAUCACUGGGCGUAAAGCGUGCGUAGGUGGCGUGUUAAGUGCAAUGCGAAAUCCUGUGGCUCAACCAUAUGGACUGUAUUGCAUACUGGCAUGCUAGAGGACGGCAGAGGCAAGUGGAAUUACCGGUGUAGCAGUGAAAUGCGUAGAGAUCGGUAGGAACACCAAUGGCGAAGGCAGCUGCUGGGCCGACCCUGACGCUAAGGCACGAAAGCGUGGGGAGCGAACACGG
rnacentral:rRNA from 1 species